AGAGUUUGAUCCUGGCUCAGGAUGAACGCUAGCGGCAGGCUUAACACAUGCAAGUCGAGGGGCAGCAGGGGUAGCAAUACCCGCUGGCGACCGGCAAACGGGUGCGGAACACGUACACAAUCUACCUUUAUCUGGGGAAUAGCCCGAAGAAAUUCGGAUUAAUACCCCAUAAAAUAACAGAGCGGCAUCGCUUAAUUAUUAAAACUCCGGUGGAUAAAGAUGAGUGUGCGUCCCAUUAGCUAGUUGGUAGGGUAACGGCCUACCAAGGCGACGAUGGGUAGCUGGUGUGAGAGCACGACCAGCCACACGGGCACUGAGACACGGGCCCGACUCCUACGGGAGGCAGCAGUGAGGAAUAUUGGUCAAUGGACGCAAGUCUGAACCAGCCAUGCCGCGUGGAGGAUGAAGGCCUUCUGGGUUGUAAACUUCUUUUAUUAGGGAAGAAAAGCACGGUUUCUACUGUGUCCGACGGUACCUAAGGAAUAAGCACCGGCUAACUCCGUGCCAGCAGCCGCGGUAAUACGGAGGGUGCAAGCGUUAUCCGGAUUCACUGGGUUUAAAGGGUGUGUAGGCGGGCUGUUAAGUCAGUGGUGAAAUCUCCAGGCUCAACCUGGAAACUGCCAUUGAUACUAUCAGUCUUGAAUUUUGUUGAGGUAGGCGGAAUAUGUCAUGUAGCGGUGAAAUGCUUAGAUAUGACAUAGAACACCGAUUGCGAAGGCAGCUUACUAAACAAAUAUUGACGCUGAGGCACGAAAGCGUGGGGAUCAAACAGGAUUAGAUACCCUGGUAGUCCACGCCCUAAACGAUGAUUACUCGACAUACGCGAUAUUACUGUGUGUGUCUGAGCGAAAGCAUUAAGUAAUCCACCUGGGAAGUACGUCCGCAAGGAUGAAACUCAAAGGAAUUGACGG
rnacentral:rRNA from 1 species